UAUAUGUAAUAUUGCUUUUAUAUGUAUUAUAUAUUUUAUAUUUAUUUGUAGGGCAAUUCUAUUCUUAUCUUCAGAAGUUAAUUCUAUCUCAGAAAAACCUCCGCUCAGGUUAAAGAAUGGAAUAUAAGUCUAGCAUUAAAUUGGUGUAAAAAUAUGGCAUAUUAUUUUAAUAACCUACGCACAGAGCAACUGUCCAUGUCCAUUCGAUAAUUCUACCUCUGUGGUAUCACUGCUCUACCUCAAUUUUUGUUAACGAACGGAAUGGAAUUCUCAUAUAUAUCAAAUUGGUGUAAAAAUAUGAUUUAAGAACUCAAGUUAUUGUCACAGUUUUGAGUCAAACAACUGUUCUUCUGGUUUAAAAUGAAGUAUGAGUUUAAAAUGAAGUAUGAGUAUGUAUCAACUGUGUGUACAAAGAUUUACUACUUAAAGAACUUUUCAAUGGACCAACUUAUUAUAGAAUAGUUUUUUAUGAAAAUAAAAACAAUUUCAAAUU